GGGCGGUUAGCUCAGCUGGUUUUAGAGCGUCUCGUUUACACCGAGAAGGCCACAGGUUCGAAUCCUGUACCGCCCA
rnacentral:tRNA from 1 species